CAGCGCUCGACUGAGCGUGCAGGGGCAGAGUGCAGGGCUCACAGCUUUAAAUGAGCUACCACAUCUCCAAUCUCUUUGCCAGAGCAAGAAAAACACAAACUCUUCUGUGGGAGAAGUGUCAGAUGUUGAAGCGUUCUGGAGCAUGGUUCUUUAAGGGACAACCCCAGCAAGUCCUCCCUGCUCCCCUGCCCAUCUCCAGGCCCAGAGGGACAGGUACAGAGAGCCCCCGUACCCAGACCCCUACCCAUGCCCAUCACCAGCCCAGUGCCCAGCCCAGCUACCAGUCAGACCCUGGUGCAGAGGACUACACAGAGCGGCAGGAGCAGCAGGAUAACUCCUACUCCAACAUACAAAACCAAAAGCCCACUGAUGAGCCCCCAUACUCCAGU
ensembl:lncRNA